GAAUUUCUGGGUCAAUUUAGAAGAAGUAAAAAAUCGUAACAAGAGUGUCUGUAGUGAAACCUGCGGAAAGGAUCGAUAUUGAAUGUAAACGGAGUUGGGAUGUUGCUGGGCCUUUUUCAAUAAGGCAAGUGCAGCCUUCUCUAUUCAUCCACACACACCAGUCCAAUGUGAGACGGAUAGCCCUCUCGAGGGUUGUCCAUCUGCUAUACAUAAACGCCAGUAUGUAAAAAUUGAAAUGUAAGUGAGGUAACGCAUCUAUAAACUAAGUUUCAACAACGGAUAUCUGGCUCUAGCACCGAUGAAGAACGCAGCGAAAUGCGAUAAGUAAUGUGAAUUGCAGAAUUCAGGAAUCAUCGAAUCCAUGAACGCACCUUGCGCUCCUUAGUAUUCCUCGGAGCAUGCAUGUUGGAGUAUCAUGAGAUGUUCAAAAUAAAUCUCUUGUUCAUUCGAUCGAUUUUAUUUUGGACCUGGAGGUAUGCAGAGUCACGUCUGCUCCUCACAAACAAAUUAGCUAGAUCCCAGUGAACUCAGUUCCACUCGGCGUGAUAAGUGUCACUCAAUGAGGACACAUAAAAGGUGACCGGGGUUGCAGAUGAACCGCUUGUAAUAGUCUAUUCACUUAGACAAAUUUGAAUAUGAUAAAUCUCAAAUCAGGUAGGACAACCCCCGACUUUAAACACUCAAUAAGCGGAGGA
rnacentral:rRNA from 1 species